GAUGAAUGCUGGCUGUGUGGAUAAGGCAUGCAAGUCGAAUGAAUUUAUAUUCAUGGCGAACGAGGUAGUAACACGUAGGACUACGUACCCCAAAGUCAGGGAUAACCCAUUGAAAGAUGGAAUAAUACCUGAUAGUCCGGUAACGGUAAAGAUUUAUCGCUUUGGGAACGGCCUGCGGAGUAUCAGCUAGUUGGUAAGGUAAGAGCUUACCAAGGCUACGACGCUUAGGGGAGGUGAGAGCCUGACCCCCACCGAUGGAACUGAGACACGGUCCAUACUCCUACGGGAGGCAGCA
rnacentral:rRNA from 2 species